CCCCCGACACCACGUUCUGUAUCCCCAGGAGACUCUGAUGGCCACAGUCCGGAGCCCGAGCCGCCGAAGGACAGGUGCUGCCCGUCCCCGAAGGGCCCCGGCUGGGGCUGACACUGCAGGACGAGCCCCUGUACCAGACGUACCGCCAGGCCGUGAUCCGCAAGGAGCUGCACCGCCAGACGCUGCCCCGCACCCCCAGCCUCGGCAGCUGGGACGGGACC